rnacentral:misc_RNA from 1 species
GAUGAAGAACGUAGCGAAAUGCGAUAAGUAAUGUGAAUUGCAGAAUUCAGUGAAUCAUCGAAUCUUUGAACGCACCUUGCGCCCUUUGGCCAUUCCGAAGGGCAUGCCUGUUUGAUUAUCAUGAACACCUCAACUCUUUAUGGUUUUCCAUGAUGAGCUUGGACUCUGGUGGUUUUGCUGGCUCACAGUCGGCUCCUCUAAAAUGAAUCAGCUUACCAGUGUUUGGUGGGUAUCAUGGGUGUGAUAACUAUCUACGCUUGUGGUUUUUCCACCAGGUAACCUUCAGCAGUGGAGGUUCGCUGGAGCUCAUAGAUGUCUCUCCUCAGUGAGGACAGCCCUUUGAAUGUUUGAUCUCAAAUCAGGUAGGACUACCCGCUGAACUUAAGCAUAUCAAUAAGCGGAGGA